GAGGUGGAAGGCCAUACAGAAUGGAGCCGUGAGUAUGGUCAGCCUCCAGCUCUCAGCCAGGAGGUCCCCAACCCCAAGGAAGGAAGAAACUGGAAAUUAGGAACUGCUUCCUCAUUUAACAAGUUCAGGCUUCAGAGAGCCCCUGACACCUGCAGGAACAUGGCAGAGGAGAUGCUGUCUGUCUUCACAAACUACGUCCUCCCUCCUUGCUGCCUCUUCCCACCAGCCUGACUUAUCCAGGGACGGAGCAGUAGGUGCCUGGCACUCCUCGAUGCGCAGUGAAACCAGACUGUGCUUCCCCACCCCCACUGCCAUGCCCCAUGCUCACUGGCUAAUUUCUUGGGAGGGCUUAGACCUGGAUAAUAUAACUUCCCUUGGA
rnacentral:sRNA from 1 species